rnacentral:rRNA from 1 species
AACGUAGGGGGCCAGCGUUGCUCGGAAUUACUGGGCGUAAAGGGUUCGUAGGCGGUGCGGCAAGUCGGGAGUGAAAUCCCUGGGCUUAACUCAGGGGCUGCUCCCGAAACUGCCGUGCUCGAGUGCGGGAGAGGCGAGUGGAAUUGCAGGUGUAGCGGUGAAAUGCGUAGAUAUCUGCAGGAACACCCGUGGCGAAGGCGGCUCGCUGGACCGCAACUGACGCUGAGGAACGAAAGCUAGGGGAGCAAACAGG